rnacentral:rRNA from 1 species
GCCCGAAAAGCUAGCCCGUUUAAUUAACCUAACAAACAUUAUUAUUAAAUCAACAAAUUUAUCUGAUUAAAAGACAAACCAUUUUACCUUCUAAGUAUAGGAGAUAGAAAAGAAAAAAGGAGCUACACAAGAAGUACCGCAAGGGAAAGCUGAAAGAGAGCUGAAAUAGCCCACUAAAGGCAAGUAAAGCAGAGCUGAAACCUCGUACCUUUUGCAUCAUGAUUUAGCAAGAAGCCCAUGAGCAAAACGAAUUUUAAGUUUAAGACCCCGAAACCGAGCGAGCUACCUCGGGACCGCUUAAUAGAGCAAACCCGUCCCUGUGGCAAAAGGGUGGGACGAUCCCCGGGUAGAGGUGAUAAACCUACCGAGCGAGGUGAUAGCUGGUUCUCUGAGAAAUGAAUAGAAGUUCAGCCUUUAAUUUUUUACGGUCAAAAAAGAACCUUCACAAAAGGACCCGUAAAGGUUUAAGGAGUUACUCAAUAGAGGUACAGCUCUAUUGAGAUAAGACACAACUUUUAUAGGAGGAUAAGGAUUAUAAGGUAAAGCAAGCUCGUGAGUGGGCCUAAAAGCAGCCACCUCAUAAGAAAGCGUUAAAGCUCUAGAACAUAACUUAAUAAAUCCCUACGACACAAUCCUACGCCCCUUAGCGUAUCAGAGCGUUCUACGCCCGCAUAGAAAAGAUUAUGCUAAUAUGAGUAAUAAGGGGGACAGCCCCCCUCGAGUGCACUAGUGUAUGUCAGAUUUGACUCACUACUGAUUUUUAACGCCCCCAAAUGUAGAGGGAAAUGGUUCAUUAGAUAUGACCAGGGAAACUAAUCAAAAAAUAUAAGCGUUAACCCCACACUGGAGUGCCCCUCGAAAGACAAAAGGAGUGAGAAGGAACUCGGCAAACAUAGACCUCGCCUGUUUACCAAAAACAUCGCCUCUUGAUAAAGUAGAAUAAGAGGUCCCGCCUGCCCUGUGACAAAAGUUUAACGGCCGCGGUAUUUUGACCGUGCAAAGGUAGCGUAAUCACUUGUCUUUUAAAUAGAGACCUGUAUGAAUGGCAUAACGAGGGUCAAACUGUCUCCUUACUCCGGUCAAUGAAAUUGAUCCCCUCGUGCAGAAGCGAGGCUGAAACCAUAAGACGAGAAGACCCUAUGGAGCUUUUAGACGCUAGGACACAUCAAGUCAAAUCCCCUAAAUAAAAGGUAUGAACAAAAUGUGGCUGUCCCAGUGUCUUUGGUUGGGGCGACCACGGAGUAAAAACUAACCCCCGUGUGGAACUAAACCACGAAAUUUUAAAUUUAGAGCAACCGCUCACGAGAACAGAAAAUCUGACCAUGCUGAUCCGGCAAAGCCGAUCCACGGACCUAGUUACCCUAGGGAUAACAGCGCAAUCCCUCCCUAGAGCCCCUAUCGACGGAGGAGUUUACGACCUCGAUGUUGGAUCAGGACAUCCUAAUGGUGCAGCCGCUAUUAAGGGUUCGUUUGUUCAACGAUUAAAGUCCUACGUGAUCUGAGUUCAGACCGGAGAAAUCCAGGUCAGUUUCUAUCUAUGGAUGUUCUCUUUUCUAGUACGAAAGGACCGAAAAGAGGGGGCCUAUGCUUAAAGCAAGCCCUACCCCCACCUGAUGUGAUUAACUAAAUCAGGUAACCGGGGGUACACCCUGGCCGGAGAAAAUGGCCUU